UACGUAGGGUCCGAGCGUUGUCCGGAUUUAUUGGGCGUAAAGAGCUCGUAGGCGGCUUGUCACGUCGGUUGUGAAAUCCCAGGGCUCAACCCUGGAACUGCAUUUGAUACUGGCAGGCUAGAGUGUGGUAGAGGAUAGUGGAAUUCCCGGUGUAGCGGUGAAAUGCGUAGAUAUCGGGAGGAACAUCAGUGGCGAAGGCGGCUAUCUGGACUAACACUGACACUGAGACUCGAAAGCGUGGGGAGCAAACAGG
rnacentral:rRNA from 1 species